GGAGAUUUAGCUCAGUAGUUCAGCACAUGCUUAGCACACAUGAGACUCUGGGUUCAAUUCCCAGCACCA
rnacentral:tRNA from 1 species